AAAACACCCUCAAGGAUGGGCACUGCACAGACUAUAACAACAAGGAACGUGGCUUUGCAUCCUCCCAGCAACGAAGUCUACCACGGGUCCCACGCCACUCUGAUUUCGGCUCAGCCGAGAACUUGAAAUAACAAGCCCACUGCCUCUGCUCCACGAGGAUCCAUGCCAUCAUGGCACUUUGGGAGGCCUGUCACGAGUUACACAGGCCUAGGCUGCCCACGCCCCAGCUCAGCAGAAAAAGAGAAUUGCAAUCCAAGUCAGACAGAUCCUGCCUGGACUCUCCGCAGAGAGCCUGGAGAGUCUGACCAGCAAAGAAACAGCAAUCUUCCCACCUACCCCACUCUUAUUCCCCCACCCCAAUCCAGUCUUCUGAAGAAGAAAAACAAACAACAAAGCAGG
rnacentral:antisense_RNA from 1 species